UACGUAGGGUGCAAGCGUUGUCCGGAAUUACUGGGCGUAAAGAGCUUGUAGGUGGUUUGUCGCGUUGUUCGUGAAAUCUCACGGCUUAACUGUGAGCGUGCGGGCGAUACGGGCAGACUAGAGUACUGCAGGGGAGACUGGAAUUCCUGGUGUAGCGGUGGAAUGCGCAGAUAUCAGGAGGAACACCGGUGGCGAAGGCGGGUCUCUGGGCCGAUACUGACGCUGAGGAGCGAAAGCGUGGGGAGCGAACAGG
rnacentral:rRNA from 1 species